rnacentral:rRNA from 1 species
GAUGAACGCUAGCGGCAGGCUUAAUACAUGCAAGUUGAGGGGCAGCAUGAUAUACGCGAGUAUAUUGACGGCGACCGGCGGACGGGUGAGUAAUAGGUAGGAGACCUACCUCAUACAGGGGGAUAGCAUAGAGAAAUCUGUGGUAAUACCCCAUGAGGUUAUAUGAAUAGAGGCAUAUAAUCAAAGCAUAAGCGAUUAUGCGGUAUGAGAGGGGCCUACUGACCAUUAGCUAGUUGGUGAGGUAAGGGCUCACCAAGGCGAAGAUGGUUAGGGGUUUUGAGAGAGAGACCCCCCACAUUGGAACUGAGAGACGGUCCAGACUCCUACGGGAGGCAGCAGUAGGGAAUAUUGGGCAAUGGGCAAAGCCUGACCCAGCCAUGCCGCGUGAAGGAAGACAGCCUUAUGGGUUAGUAAACUUCUUUACUACGCGAAUAGAGGUUAGUACGAGAUACUAAUAGGAAGUAGUGUAAGUAAAAAGCACCGGCUAACUCCGUGA